CUGCAGCUCAAGUGGUGAUCAUUAUUAUUGGGCCUAAAACGUCCGUAGCCUGUUUAGUAAAUGCCUGGGUAAAUCGUGUAGCUUAACUAUACGAAUUCCGGGUAGACUGUUAAACUUGAGACCGGGAGAGGCUAGAGGUACUCCUGGGGUAGAGGUGAAAUUCUGUAAUCCUAGGGGGACCACCAGUGGCGAAGGCGUCUAGCUAGAACGGGUCUGACGGUGAGGGACGAAGCCCUGGGGCACAAACCGGAUUAGAUACCCGAGUAGUCC
rnacentral:rRNA from 1 species